rnacentral:piRNA from 1 species
UUACCACCGGGUCCCAGGAUUCCACAC